UACGAAGGGGGCUAGCGUUGCUCGGAAUCACUGGGCGUAAAGGGUGCGUAGGCGGGUUAUUAAGUCAGAGGUGAAAUCCUGGAGCUCAACUCCAGAACUGCCUUUGAUACUGAGGAUCUCGAGUCCGGGAGAGGUGAGUGGAACUCCGAGUGUAGAGGUGAAAUUCGUAGAUAUUCGGAAGAACACCAGUGGCGAAGGCGGCUCACUGGCCCGGUACUGACGCUGAGGUGCGAAAGCGUGGGGAGCAAACAGG
rnacentral:rRNA from 1 species